UACGUAGGGAGCAAGCGUUGUCCGGAAUCAUUGGGCGUAAAGCGCGCGUAGGCGGCCUCAUAAGUCCGUUGUGAAAGUCAAAGGCUCAACCUUUGAAAGCCGAUGGAUACUGUGAGGCUAGAGUCCGGAAGAGGCGAGUGGAAUUCCUGGUGUAGCGGUGGAAUGCGCAGAUAUCAGGAGGAACACCAAUAGCGAAGGCAGCUCGCUGGGACGGUACUGACGCCAAGGCGCGAAAGCGUGGGGAGCGAACAGG
rnacentral:rRNA from 1 species